rnacentral:rRNA from 1 species
AACGAACGCUGGCGGCAGGCUUAACACAUGCAAGUCGAGCGCCCCGCAAGGGGAGCGGCAGACGGGUGAGUAACGCGUGGGAACAUACCCUUUGGUUCGGAAUAACUCAGGGAAACUUGAGCUAAUACCGGAUACGUCCGUAAGGAGAAAGAUUUAUCGCCAAAGGAUUGGCCCGCGUCCGAUUAGCUAGUUGGUGAGGUAACGGCUCACCAAGGCUACGAUCGGUAGCUGGUCUGAGAGGAUGAUCAGCCACAUUGGGACUGAGACACGGCCCAAACUCCUACGGGAGGCAGCAGUGGGGAAUAUUGGACAAUGGGCGCAAGCCUGAUCCAGCCAUGCCGCGUGAGUGAUGAAGGCCUUAGGGGUUGUAAAGCUCUUUUGUCCGGGAAGAUAAUGACUGUACCGGAAGAAUAAGCCCCGGCUAACUUCGUGCCAGCAGCCGCGGU